UCCGCCAUAGAUCAGUUGGUAGUAGCGCAUGACUGUUAAUCAUGAUGUCGUAGGUUCGAGUCCUACUGGCGGAG
rnacentral:tRNA from 1 species